GCCUAGUGGCGAACGGGUGAGUAACACGUGAGGAACCUGCCCCGAAGACCGGGAUAACAGAAGGAAACUUCUGCUAAUACCGGAUACCCCCACCGAACCGCAUGGUUUGGUGAGGAAAUGGAUUCCGCUUCGGGAGGGCCUCGCGGCCUAUCAGCUAGUUGGUGGGGUAACGGCCUACCAAGGCAUCGACGGGUAGCUGGUCUGAGAGGACGAUCAGCCACACUGGGACUGAGACACGGCCCAGACUCC
rnacentral:rRNA from 1 species